rnacentral:rRNA from 1 species
CCUACGGGAGACAGCAGUAGGGAAUAUUCCACAAUGGGCGCAAGCCUGAUGGAGCAACACCGCGUGAGGGAUGAAGGGUUUCGGCUCGUAAAGCUCUGUUGUUGGGGAAGAACGUGCGCGAGAGUAACUGUUAACGCAGUGACGGUAUCCUACCAGAAAGCCACGGCUAACUACGUGCCAGCAGCCGCGGUAAUACGUAGGUGGCAAGCGUUAUCCGGAGUUAUUGGGCGUAAAGCGGGCGCAGGCGGUUGCUUAGGUCUGAUGUGAAAGCCUUCGGCUGAACCGAAGAAGUGCAUCGGAAACUGGGAAACUGGAGUGCAGAAGAGGACAGUGGAAUUCCAUGUGUAGCGGUGGAAUGCGUAGAUAUAUGGAAGAACACCAGUGGCGAAGGCGGCUGUCUGGUCUGCAACUGACGCUGAGGCUCGAAAGCAUGGGUAGCGAACAGGAUUAGAUACCCGUGUAGUC